rnacentral:rRNA from 1 species
AUGGAACAAUCAAAAAUUAUAGAUACGACGGAGACAUAUCAGAUGCGAGUGGGAAAUGGUUCCAAAGUUGAUGUGAUCGUCGUCGACACGCUACCUCUACAUCUACCUUCGGGAUUAAUUUUAGACCUAAAUAAUUGUUAUUUGGUGCCAGCUUUGAGCAUGAACAUUAUAUCUGGAUCUUGUUUAAUGCAAGAUGGUUAUUCAUUUAAAUCUAAGAAUAAUGGUUGUUAUAUUUAUAUGAGUAAUAUCAUUUAUGGUCAUGCACCCUUAAAGAGUGGUCUAUUUUUGAUGAAUCUCGAUAGUAGUGAUACACAUAUUCAUAAUGUUGAAGCCAAAAGAUGUAGAGUUGAUAAUGAUAGUGCAACUUAUUUGUGGCACUACCGUUUGGGUCAUAUUGGUAUAAAGCGCAUGAAGAAACUCCAUUCUGAUGGACUUUUGGAAUCACUUGAUUAUGAAUCAGUUGGUACUUGCGAACCAUGCCUCAUGGGCAAGAUGACUAAAACGCCAUUCUCCAGAACUAUGGAUCGAGCAACUGAUUUGUUGGAGAUCAUACAUACUGAUGUAUGUGGUCCAAUGAAUGUUGAGGCUCGUGGCGGGUAUCGUUAUUUUCUCACCUUCACAGAUGAUUUAAGCAGAUAUGUGUAUAUCUACUUAAUGAAACAUAAGUCUGAAACAUUUGAAACGUUCAAAGAAUUUCAGAGUGAAGUUGAGAAUCAUCGUAACAAGAAAAUAAAGUUUCUAUGUUCUGAUCGUGGAUGA